GUGCUCACUUCAGUAGCACAUAUAUUAACAUUGAAACGAUACUGGGAAGAUUAGCAUGGCCCUUGUGAAAAGAUGACAUACAAACAUACAAAUACAUGAAGCAUUCCAUAUUUUU
rnacentral:snRNA from 1 species